ACUGUCGGCAUGAGCGUGACACCGCGCCGAAAAGCGCGGCAACCUGUUGAACGGCUAAGCAGUUGAACCCAUGUGCUAGGGAUCGGGGCUGGCAAUUGUUCCCGGUGAAUGAGGAAUUCCUUGCAGAGGCGCGUCAU
rnacentral:rRNA from 1 species